UGCUGGAGGUAUCAGAAGUGCGAAUGCUGACAUAAGUAACGAUAAAGCGGGUGAAAAGCCCGCUCGCCGGAAGACCAAGGGUUCCUGUCCAACGUUAAUCGGGGCAGGGUGAGUCGACCCCUAAGGCGAGGCCGAAAGGCGUAGUCGAUGGGAAACAGGUUAAUAUUCCUGUACUUGGUGUUACUGCGAAGGGGGGACGGAGAAGGCUAUGUUAGCCGGGCGACGGUUGUCCCGGUUUAAGCAUGUAGGC
rnacentral:rRNA from 1 species